rnacentral:rRNA from 1 species
GUGUCAGCAGCCGCGGUAAUACGGAGGGUGCGAGCGUUGUCCGGAAUCAUUGGGUGUAAAGGGUGCGUAGGCGGGCUGCUAAGUCUGGGGUGAAAUCCUGCCGCUUAACGGUAGAAUGGCCCCCGAUACUGGCAGUCUUGAGUACAGAAGAGGUCGGUGGAAUUCGUAGUGUAGCGGUGAAAUGCAUAGAUAUUACGAAGAACACCAGUGGCGAAGGUGGCCGGCUGGUCUGUAACUGACGCUGAGGCACGAAAGCGUGGGGAGCGAACAGGAUUAGAUACCCUGGUAGUCCACGCUGUAAACGAUGUAUGCUAGGUGUCGGCCCUUCGGGGUCGGUGCUGCAGUUAACGCAGUAAGCAUACCACCUGGGGAGUACGUCGGCAACGAUGAAACUCAAAUGAAUUGACGGGG